rnacentral:rRNA from 1 species
AUUGAACGCUGGCGGCAGGCCUAACACAUGCAAGUCGAGCGGAGCGGCGGACGGGCGGGUAAUUCCUAGGAAUCUGCCUUGUAGUGGCGGAUCCCCUCAGUAAACGGGCCCUGAUACCGCAUACUAUCAUCUGAUCCUAGGGCGGAUUAGCUAGUUGGUGGGGUAAAGGCCUACCAAGGCGACGAUCCGUAACUGGUCUGAGAGGAUGAUCAGUCACACUGGAACUGAGACACGGUCCAGACUCCUACGGGAGGCAGCAGUGGGGAAUAUUGGACAAUGGGCGAAAGCCUGAUCAAGCAAGGCCGCGUGUGUGAAGAAGGUCUUCGGAUUGUAAAGCACUUUAAGUAGGGAGGCGUUACCAACAGAAUAAGCACCGGCUAACUUCGUGCCAGCAGCCGCGGUAAUAC